UUUACCAGACAGCCGGAAGAGGGAGAGGGUUAGGAAAGACUUCAAGGAAGAUUAGCAUGGCCCCUGCGCAAGAAAGACACAGAAAUUCGCGAAGCACUCCAUGCUCUU
rnacentral:snRNA from 8 species